UACGAAGGGGGCGAGCGUUGUUCGGAAUUACUGGGCGUAAAGGGCGCGCAGGCGGUCUUCCAAGUCGGGCGUGAAAUUCCUGGGCUCAACCUGGGGGCUGCGUUUGAUACGUGCGGACUUGAGUGCGGAAGAGGGUCGUGGAAUUCCCAGUGUAGAGGUGAAAUUCGUAGAUAUUGGGAAGAACACCGGUGGCGAAGGCGGCGACCUGGUCCGAUACUGACGCUGAGGCGCGAAAGCGUGGGGAGCAAACAGG
rnacentral:rRNA from 1 species